GGGCCUAUAGCUCAAUUGGCAGAGCAGCGGACUUUUAAUCCGCGGGUUCUGGGUUCGAUUCCCAGUGGGCCCA
rnacentral:tRNA from 1 species